CCCUACGGGGGGCAGCAGUAGGGAAUCUUCCACAAUGGGCGGAAGCCUGAUGGAGCAACGCCGCGUGGGUGAAGAAGGUCUUCGGAUCGUAAAACCCUGUUGUUAGAGAAGAAAGUGCGUGAGAGUAACUGUUCACGUUUCGACGGUAUCUAACCAGAAAGCCACGGCUAACUACGUGCCAGCAGCCGCGGUAAUACGUAGGUGGCAAGCGUUAUCCGGAUUUAUUGGGCGUAAAGGGAACGCAGGCGUUCUUUUAAGUCUGAUGUUAAACCUUUCGGAUUAACCGUGGU
rnacentral:rRNA from 1 species